CUCUCUCUCUCUCUCUGUCUAGGAGAAGAGCCAGGUUCUGUGUGUAACAGUAUUGUUGGGGCUGACCUACAGUGAUAACUCUCUGGUGAAGGCUGCUGCAGUCAGAGCUCUGGGAGUCUACAUUCUGUUCCCGUGUCUACGAGAGGAUGUGAUGUUUGUAGCAGACACGGCCAAUGCCAUCCUGACAGCCCUGGACGACCGCUCACCCAAUGUCCGCUCCAAGGCCGCCUGGUCGCUAGGCAACCUCACCGACACACUCAUCGUCAACAUGGAAUGUGUUGGGGAGGUCUUCCAGGAGGAGCUGUCUGAUAUGUUAGUGCUCCAGAUGCUGCAGUCAGCCACCAAGGCUGCUUUUGACAAGGACAGGGUGAGAACAC